AACAAACAAACAAACAAGAACAAAAGAGAAAAGGGGCAAGGGAGGAGGCAGACAGUAAAAUAAAAUAGUCAUUAAGUCACAGAACAGGGUAGCUUACAAAUCAGGUAACUGAUGAUAUGCAUCUACUAGGUAUUUCAAAUAAUUUUCAUUAAAAUAUUCUUAAGCUUACAUAAGGAACAUUUGAAAAAUAGUGUAAUACUCAAUGUACUUAAUUCCUUAAACACUUGAGCCUCAAAUUUUUUGUUAAAAACAAGUAUGGCAUUAUAUUAUAUUGUCUGAAUGUCAGGUUACAGCUGAAGUACAAAUUUACGGAAAGACAUAUGACUGACUCAAGGAAUGUUUACAUUUUAAAGGUUUUCAAUAUUCAUUGCUAACCUAUUUUCUACAGUCUGUCUUAAUUACAGCAGUCACUUCAGUGCCCCCCUCACAAACACUAACUAUUCUCCCACUUAAAAAAAAAAAAUCCUUCAUGAGCUAGGUACUAUUGUUCCUAUUUUACAGAUGAGAAAACUGAGACACACAGAGACUGAUGUCCUAAGACACACAGCUAGCAAAUCAGGUAGCUGACAUAAAAACUUACAUAGUAGGAUUUCCAGGGCUUACAUUCUCAAUCACCAAAAACUAAUAGAAGACUUUUACAUGGCAGUUUGUUAUAAAAUAACUACACAAAGUAUUCCAUAGGUCAGUAAAAACCAAUCUGAAAAAUGCAAUGAAAAUGGCAACUGCAAAACCCUAUUAAAACGCAUAAAGAACAAGAUUAAAGGGAGAAAUAUCCUUCCGAAAAACCAUCUAUAUUGAUAUUAAUGUGCAACAAUCAAAAACCAUUUUUUUAAAACAAAGGAUGUCAAAGAUUCUUACCCAAGAUGUUAAAGUGGUCUACAAAGCUAUGGCAAUUCAAUUAUGUUGUAGUUCUGACACAGGAUCAGUAUGGUAAACAGAACAAGAUCUUAGAAACAGGCCCAAGAAUGUAUGAGACACUAGCACAUAUAAUAAAGGGAUAUUUUAAUUAGCCAUAAAUUAAUGAUCUAACCCAGGGGUGGGCAAAUUAUUUCCUGCAGGACAAAUCCAGCACACUGCCUGUUUUUGUAAGAUACAUGAACUAAGAAAGUUUUUACAUUACAGAUGGUUAUAUAAAGGCCUAUUAUACAAAAUAGGUUUUGAUUUUAUAUAUAUCCUUGAUUUUGCUUCUUGGUCCACAAAGCCUAAAAUAGUUACUAUCUGGUUCUUUAAGGGAAAGUUUUCUGACCCGUGAUUUAAAGCAUAAAUGGUGUCGGUGCAAUUGGAUAAGCUUGUAGAAAAAAAAAGUAUUUGGAACCCUACAAUUCACAGGUUAAACCAAAACACAUUUCUAAUGGACAUAAAUUAUAUGUGAAGAACAAAACAUAAAAGUAUUAUAAGAAAGUAAUUGGGAAAUGUCUUCCUAAGUAUGAUCUCGAAAACAGAAGCCAUUUAAAAAUAAGACUGAUGGAUCACAUUUAAUUAAAAUGACAAAUAUACGUAUACUACAUAUACCAAGAAUUAAAGGUGAAAAACUGGGAAAAUAUUUGUAAUGAAUGACAAGAGGUUGUUAUCCUCAAUACAUGGAGAAUGCAAACUAGUAAGACUUAAGAUCUCAAUAGAGAAAUAGAAAAUGACACAAAAAAGGUACACAAAGGAAGAAAUACAAAUGACCAAUAACUAUAUGGAAAAGACCCAUCACACUGUGUGUGUGUAAAAUUAAUGAUGUUUUACUGUAUGUACAUGAAAACAAUAAGCUUGUCUAUUAGCAAAGACUUAAAUGUAAUUGCUGGUAUUCUUGUUGGCAUGGAGAGUGGUGAUUACAGUAAAAACUGGUACAAACUUUUUGAUGGAAAAUAUGUCUGUAUGACCUAGAAGAUUUAAAUAAUUGUGUAUUUUUCAAUAAAAAUAUUUAAAGCAUAAAAUUAGAAUUUUAGCAAUUAUUUCUGAUAGCAUUAUAGGUAAUUUUUCUUCAAGUGUAUUUUUAAAAAUUUGUAUAAUUUACCUGUGCUAUUUUGUAAUUUUAAAAAAGUAACAGCAACAGCAGCCAAUGUAUAAGGUAGCCAAUAUAUUAUUACUCCUAUUUUUACAGAAAAGGAAACUGAGACUUGGAGAAGUUCUUGCUAACAGGCAAAGUCAGGAUCCAAACACACAUAUUUGUAUUGCUUUAGAGUCCAAGUUCUUAAUUCCUAUGCCAUACUAUGUUCUUAAUUAAUGUUUUUUUAAAAAAGGUUUUGUGAAUCAAACCAUUCUGUUACUUCUGUGCCAACCAGCUGGAUCAGAAUGGUGGCCAACAUUUGUGAGUAUGUGUGGAAAAGCAGUAAGGAGCAAAUAAAAAGCCGAUUGGAGGAGGAAGGUCCUUAUAUUGUGAACAAUGGGUCUACGAAUUACCUCCAAUUAUAUUAAUGUCAGCAAAAGAAUGUUGGAAAUCUAUAAUCAGUGGUACUACUUUUAACUCAACUGUACAGUUGUCUCACAUCCAUACUCCAAGGAGGAUUCUACACAUCUGAUACACAAAAUUUACUAUAAGUAGAGAGUCAGGUCUAUCUAAAAGGCCCACCAUCUCGAGACAGAAAUUUUCUUCUACUGUGGCUUAAAAGUUUCAAAUGAAGUGAAUACUUAUAAAGGGAAUCCUACUGAUCUUAAACGACAAAAGUUCAAUAAUUUCUGAACCACAGGCUUGAAAAUUAAAAGCUCUUCAUUUGAUAUGGGCUUAAAUAAAACUGGGGUCUGAAAUUCAGACAACAGGGGCUGUUUCUAGUCUUCCUGCUGCCCGAAAAGUACAUCUGUUUACACAAGUUGCUUAGCUUCUGUGUGAUUUAAUUUCCUAUUAUAAAUGAAAAUAAUAUAUCUGCAUGGUCUAGUUCAUGGUUUAGAGAAGGAGCAGCCAGCGAGGGAGAUGAAAACCAAAGAGAGUAUGGUAGAUAUCUUGAAAGUUAACUGGAAUAAGUGGUUCAAGGAAGAAUGUAAUCAACUGUUUCAAAAUGCUGUUGACUAAAAAAAAAAGAUGAGAAUUAAUCUUUGGAUUGCAGCAUGGAGAUCACCUACUUGGUAAUCUUCGUAGAUAGCUUUGGUGAAAUAAAUGUACUAACUAGACUGGAUUCACAAGAGAACAGGAAGAGAGAAACUGGAGACAAAGUACAGACAUCAUUUUCAAGAAGUUUUGCCAUAAAAGUGAAAAAUGGUAAUAGCUGAAAAAAUUUAGCGUUGACAGAAGGCUUUUUUUAAAGACAGGAAAAAUUAUGGCACAG
rnacentral:lncRNA from 1 species